GGCCGGCGCCGGGUGGAGGAGAUCGGCGGUAACCCGGGGCUUGCCUGGAGGGUCCCCUGUGGAUCCCCGCCUUGUGGCGCCCUCCAGCUGGGUAGGAAUGGCGUUCCCAGGAUCCGCGGGCCGGCAAGCGCUUUUGUGGGUUGCGCUUCUGCGGGCGCCCGGUUGGGUCUUGUCCUCGUUGAAGAUUGAGAAUCAGCCAACGUGCCAACUGCAGAGAGCGAAAAGUGCCGUGUAGAAACUGGUUGUGUGUCCUAAUAAAUCUCUGCCAAAGCAAAUCAGCUUUACAGUACCUGGAAGUAAGCAGUUCUAAAUUAAGCUGAACCAGCUUCUGGCAGGUCACUUCUCAACAACUUUCCUUACUCCAAGCGUUUCAGCUCCCAUCCUAACCGAGACCAGAGACACUGAACUGCAGUCUCAGGUAAACUAAAUGGAAACCUACAAAGACGCCAAUGGGCACAACAAACAGGCUAAUUUUGAUGCCACUUUCAAAACUUGCACAGCCCAACAACUCAUCUGCCCGCUGCACAGAUUGGAAUCCACCUACGAAAUCCCCUCCAAGAUCCUUCCAAAUAUAUCUUUCACAACUGAUAAGAACCUCUGGUGUUCUCGGGUUCUAAAAUUUAAAUUGGCAAUGACAGCCAUGCCAUAAGAGUUUGAAUUAACCUUCUGCCAUGGUCACUAACUUCACAGGAUUAUUCUGAAGAUCAAAAACGACAAGAUGACCACAUAGCCAUUUUGAUCACUCUUGAAACAGAGCAGAGUAAGAAUUCUGUAGAACUAGUUGAACUUCUGUCAACAUGAGUUGUUCCAGUUAUAAGUCAUAAAUUUCCAUGCUGCGUAAGAACUGCCACAGUGUUUUUAUAAGAUGACUGAUCACAUAUAUUAUUCUCCUUUAUCCCCUUCCAUUUUAAAGUAGUGCCUUGUCUGUGCACUUUUUGUUGUAAUCUAUUUUUCUGAGUAAAAACCCUUAGGAACUCUUGUCUCUCCAACCUCACCAAUGAAAAACUCAGCAUU